AACGAACGCUGGCGGCAGGCCUAACACAUGCAAGUCGAACGCCCUAGCAAUAGGGAGUGGCAGACGGGUGAGUAACGCGUGGGAACGUACCCUUCGGUUCGGAAUAACCCAGGGAAACUUGGACUAAUACCGGAUACGUGCGAGAGCAGAAAGAUUUAUCGCCGAAGGAUCGGCCCGCGUCCGAUUAGCUAGUUGGUGAGGUAAUGGCUCACCAAGGCGACGAUCGGUAGCUGGUCNGAGAGGAUGAUCAGCCACACUGGGACUGAGACACGGCCCAGACUCCUACGGGAGGCAGCAGUGGGGAAUAUUGGACAAUGGGCGCAAGCCUGAUCCAGCCAUGCCGCGUGAGUGAUGAAGGCCUCGGUU
rnacentral:rRNA from 1 species